UAGUCUGCAACCCGACUACACGAAGCUAGGAAUCGCUAGUAAUCGCGAAUCAGAAUGUCGCGGUGAAUACGUUCCCGGGCCUUGUACACACCGCCCGUCACACCAUGAGAGUUGGCAAUACCCAACGUACGUGAUCUAACCCGCAAGGGAGGAAGCGUCCUAAGGUAGGGUCAGCGAUUGGGGUGAAGUCGUAACAAGGUACC
rnacentral:rRNA from 1 species